rnacentral:lncRNA from 10 species
AAAGCCCUCCAUGUUAAUAUUCAUCUGAAUAUGGAUAAUUAGGGUGGCUAGCAAAACUGAAAAGAGAAUAAUGUAUAAUAUAAAUGCAAUGACUCCAUUACUAGGGGAGUAGUAAAGUGAUUUCAAUGAAGCUGUCAUUAGUAUGAAUGUUAAGUUGUCUGACUAGUUGUAGAAUCUGCCUUUCUUACCUUUAUGAACAUGGCUUCAUAAUACAGUAUUUUCAAAAUAAUAAAUUAUUCAAUCAUAUUCCCUUAUCUGGAAGUUAACACGUAAAACACACAAAGUCAAAUAUUCAAGUAUAUUCCUGUACAUCUGUCAGCAGAGCAGAGAUACUCUGAUUAUACUUUCUUUUGUUACUUUACUUAUUACCUGCUACUGUCUACUGUAUGCAAUAUAUUUUGUAAGAUUCAGAAAUGUAAAUUGUUAUAUAUGAUAUAGGGUCUAAUAUCCAAGGAGCUACAGUGCAUUAAAAAUUCUUAUAUAGAAAUAACAUGAAAUAUAAAGGAACAGAUAAACACCAACUUAUUACAUUUUUAAUGGAUGAUAAGAAUUACUCAUGCUCGCUACUCUUCCUUUCUUUUACAUGGUUUCCUUUUUUUAUUUAUUUUCCUUGAAACUAAAAAAAUAUUAACAAUGAUAUCUACCAAUUUUUAAGCACUUAUGAAGGGCCACUGUACUUAUGCUUUUUCACACACUAUCUCACCCUAUCACUUGUUAAAAUUUCCACUGCCAGCAGUUACAUAACUUCCUGCUUUUUUUUUUUGAGAUGGAGCCUCACUCUGUCAUUCAGGCUGGAGUGCAGUGGUGUGAUCUCAGCUCACUGCUGCAUCCUUUGCCUCCUGGGUUCAAGCGAUUCUCCUGCCUCAGCCUUCCAAGUAGCUGGGAUUACAGGUAAGUGUCACCAUGCCUGGCUAAUUUUUAUAUUUUUAGUAGAGACAGGGUUUCACCAUGUUGGCCAGGCUGGUCUCGAACUCCUGACCUCAGUCGAUCUGCCCACCUCAGCCUCCCAAAGUGCUGGGAUUAUAGGCGUGAGCCACUGCGCCCGGCCAUAACUUCCUGCUUUUCCUGCAUUUACAUGAAUGACCGUCUAUGAAUCCUAGAACCUUAGACCAUGAAGGAAUAGUAAAGAUCUUUUAUCAGCUACAAAUUAUAUACAACAAUGGAGCUUCUGCCUCCACACUCACACUCCUUGAUUUUAAAUUUUUUUAAAUUCUCUGCCUUGAGAGCUCCAUAUUGCAGGAAAUCAAGGACAAGCGCUCCUAUUCACUCCACUAAGGAAGGCUUUCUGGAGGCAAAAGCAGAGUUUGGGGCAUGAACAAACAUGCAAGGAGAAGGAGGAAAAACAUUUGAAAUAAUAAAAGAUGCUGAAUUGACAGGAUCUAGCAAGCAAUUCCAUAUGAAGGAGGUGGGAAUUGGCACCUGGACCACAAAGUUGAUGGAAAUGUUUUUGAUUUGAUAAGGAGCUGAGCAGGUUUGGGACAAUGUGAUAUAAGCACAGAUUUGGAAACAUCUAAUGAAGUCACAUGGGCAGUAUCCACAGCAUGUCCAGUGGUAGAAACACCAGGCCUAUAUGGAACGUGCAGACUUGGCAAUGAUGUUGGCUGCUCUGGAAAGUUCCAUGGAGUCAGGAGAGCAGAGGCACAGGUUGACCCAUGCUGAUCCCUGCCCACUCACCCUGCCAGAGAACAGAGCUCUGGAGUGAAUCCAGCAGGAGAGUUCCAGUCUCACCUCUGACUCACAUUGGCCUCUGUCCCUCUGGUAUGGAGGUCACUCUCAACACCCAUCCUACAUUCCUUCUCCAGAAAUAAAUUAGAUCACCCAUUUACAAAGGAAACUUACCUAUCACUGUUAAAAUAGUGGAGAUUUCUGUCUAGGCCAUCUAUGGCUUUCAUGUCCUCUGCAGUCAACUGGAACUCAAAAACCUAUCAGAAAUAAAAAACUUUUAUUAUUUUUAGAUUGCCAGUUGUGAAUCCCCAAGUAUAUUAGACAGUAGGGUGCAGAGACAAUACUUAAAAUAUUGGUAAGUUUUAAACAGUUAUAGAAGUCAGCUCUAAACACUCAGGUGGGUCAAUGAAUAGCUCACGAAAAAUAAGCAGAAAUCCAUUCCUAGAUAUUAUGUAUUGAAACUGUGCAACUCUGCAGACAAAGAGAAAAUUUCAACAGAAAAUGGAGAAGAAACAGCGCUGACAUUGUGCCCACAUGAUAGGGUCAUGUACCUAGAAGACCCACAAGAAUCUAGAG